UGUACUUCGCCUUCUAGUGUUAUUUUCCCUUACAAAUGCUGGGUUGCCCAAGAAGAAUUUUGACUACUUGAGGCGGGAAAUACUGCACAGUUAUGGCUUUGAGCACAUGCCCUUGUUAUACAAUCUGGAAAAAGCUGGCCUUGUUAAAAGGCAGGAAUCAAGGACUAAUUGGCCUGUUAUUAGCAGAGCUCUCCAGCUUAUAGUUGAUAUAAAGGAUCCUGAAAACCCUGAUGAUAUAGCAUACAUCUUUGCUGGAUAUGCACCUCUUAGUAUUCGCCUGGUUCAGCAUGCAGUGAGGUCCGGAUGGUAAGU